AUGAUCGCGUUGUGGGUUGCUGCCUGCAGCCUGCUGUCGUGGUGUUCGUCGCUCUCGGGAGUCGAAGGAAUUGGAGUCAACUAUGGCAUGAUGGGCAGCAACCUCCCGUCCCCGGACAAGGUGGUGGCGCUGUACAAAGCCAACAACAUCACCGACGUCCGCAUCUUCCACCCGGACACCAACGUCCUCGAGGCCCUCCGCGGCUCAGGCCUCGGCGUCGUCCUCGGCACGCUCAACAGCGACCUCGCCCCGCUCGCCUCCGACGCCUCGUACGCCGCGUCAUGGGUGCAGUCCUACGUGCAGCCCUUCGCCGGCGCCGUGAGCUUCCGCUACAUCAACGCCGGGAACGAGGUCAUACCGGGGGAGUCCGCCGGUCUGGUGCUCCCCGCCAUGCAGAACCUCGAGGCCGCGCUCCGGGCCGCGGGGCUCAGUGUGCCGGUAACGACGGCCAUGGCGACGUCGGUGCUCGGGACCUCGCACCCGCCGUCGCAGAGCGCGUUCUCGGAGGCGGCGCUGCCGACGGUCGGGCCGAUCGUCUCCUUCCUGGCGUCGAGGGGCACGCCGCUGCUCGUGAACGUGUACCCGUACUUCGCCUACUCGGCGGAGCCGUCCUCGGUGCCGCUCGACUACGCGCUCCUGUCGUCGUCGGCCGCGGUGGCGGUGACCGACAACGGGGUUGAGUAUGCCAACAUGUUCGACGCCAUCCUGGACGCGGUGUACGCGGCCGUGGAGAAGGCCGGGGGCGGGGAGAGCAUGGCGCUGGUGGUGUCGGAGACCGGGUGGCCGUCGGGCGGCGGCGGGUACGGCGCCAGCGUGGAGAACGCGGCGGCGUACAUCAACAACCUGGUCCGGCACGUGGGGCGCGGCACGCCGCGGCGGCCCGGGAAGGCCGUGGAGACGUAUAUCUUCGCCAUGUUCAACGAGAACCAGAAGCCCGAGGGCGUGGAGCAGUACUUCGGGAUGUUCCAGCCGGACAUGAGCCAGGUCUACCACGUCGACUUCUCGGCUUCGUCCUAA
rnacentral:rRNA from 1 species